GCAUAUAUAGAGCUAGUGAAAGACAUCCUCCAAGUCAGAAAAAAAGACCAUGAAUUCCUUAUGCAGUUCAAUGAUUGCUGCUAUCUUUGCCAUGACAUUGAUCCUUUCAUCUGGGGUGAUUAUGUCCCAAGCUAGGGUUCUUCCUUCUUCAUCCUUAGUUUCAAAAAUAUCACAAACUUCCAAUUCUCUUUCAUAUUCAAAUUUUCAUAGAGAAGAGCAAAAAUCAUCUCAGAAGCCUGUGGUAGCAGCUAGCCUUACAAAAAAACCACCUAGAAAACCAAAUCNAACUGUUCNUGAGGUAGCUGCUAGCCUUAGAAGGAUACCACCNAGCAGACCAAAUCCUACACAGAACAAGUUAAAGCCUAGGAUAAGAGGCUAAGCAGAGGAACUGAUGCAAUGGAUUGACGCUAUACAUGAAGAUUCAAGCAGUGUCAUGAACUCUGUUGCUCUAGUUUUGUUUUUGUUUCACUUUCUUUUUAGUUUUUUACUGUUUCCCAGAUUCAAAUUCUUAGGUUUAUCAGUGAGAAUUUGGUAUAGUUCAUAUCAUGACUUUAGAUUUUUCUUUGCUUUUAUCUUACCUUUUAUGCUUUAGAUUGUAGAGAAUAUAUAGCAGCUUAUGAAUGUAAAUGAGAAAAUCAAUAGCCACUUAAAAUUGUUAUGGUUU